GAUCCUGGCUCAGGAUGAACGCUGGCGGCGUGCUUAACACAUGCAAGUCGAACGAAGCACUUUUAUCGAUUUCUUCGGAAUGAAGUUUUAGUGACUGAGUGGCGGACGGGUGAGUAACGCGUGGGUAACCUGCCCUGUACCGGGGGACAACAGUUGGAAACGGCUGCUAAUACCGCAUAAGCGCACGGUUCCGCAUGGAACAGUGUGAAAAACUCCGGUGGUACAGGAUGGAUUCGCGUCUGAUUAG
rnacentral:rRNA from 1 species